CGGCGCAGCAAUGGCCAGACCGUGAGUGCCGCUGACAGAAGUCAAGAGAAUCGGCUGGGACGGGGUUGGGGCAACAACGGGCCGGGGGGGACCCGACAGGCCAGAGCCCCUUGGGGAGGAGCGGCGGCUGGAGGCGCGAGGCUCCUCUGGAUGCCCGGAGAGCCGCUUGCGACUUAACUCCCGCCUCCUUCCCAGAUGCCGCGUCACUGCUCCGCCGCCGGCUGCUGCACACGGGACACGCGCGAGACGCGCAACCGCGGCAUCUCCUUCCACAGACUUCCCAAGAAAGACAACCCGAGGCGAGGCUUGUGGCUGGCCAACUGCCAGCGGCUGGACCCCAGCGGCCAGGGCCUGUGGGACCCGGCAUCCGAGUACAUCUACUUCUGCUCCAAACACUUUGAGGAGAACUGCUUUGAGCUGGUGGGAAUCAGGUGGGCCUCCCUGCCGGCCGACGCUGGGGUAGGAUGUGGGGCUUCCGGCGGACUGGGACAGCUGCGGGUCCUGGAAGUCCCUUGAGCAGCCUGCGUCCAAGGGGGCUGUUUCCUCUUCCCAGCUCUGCACAGUGAAACCUACCCCCAGGAUCACUGUGCCUGUGACACAAGGGGAAAACAGGAGCCUUUCCAGAGAGUAUUUUUCAGAGCUCCAGUCUUGCCAGCAAGUCCACAAAUCAAAGAAUUCUUUCUGGCUGGUCAGCCCAGCUCGGCUUGUGCAGGCUUUCCACACACCUGGACUUUGAGGAGUCCUGCAGGGAAGCGAUUGGUGUAGCUCUAACUUGGUAUUCCCCAGACGUAUUGUUUGCACGAUGCCUUCCAGCCUCCCACGGCGUUGGUGCUGGGGGCAGAUUGGCCUGGGGAGGCAGCACUUGUUCUCCAGCUCAUCUGGGUUGCUUUUCCCCACAGCGGGUAUCACAGGCUAAAGGAGGGGGCAGUCCCCACCAUAUUUGAGUCUUUCUCCAAGUUGCGCCGGACAACCAAGACCAAAGGACACAGUUAUUCACCUGGCCCCCCUGAAGUCAGCCGGCUCAGACGAUGCAGGAAGCGCUGCUCCGAGGGCCGAGGGCCCACAACUCCAUUUUCUCCACCUCCACCUGCUGAUGUCACCUGCUUUCCUGUAGAAGAGGCCUCAGCACCUGCCACUUUGCCGGCCUCCCCAGCUGGGAGGCUGGAGCCUGGCCUUAGCAGCCCCUUUUCAGACCUACUGGGCCCCCUGGGUGCCCAGGCAGAUGAAGCAGGCUGCAGUGCCCAGCCUUCACCAGAGCGGCAGCCCUCCCCUCUCGAACCACGGCCAGUCUCCCCCUCAGCCUAUAUGCUGCGCCUGCCCCCACCCGCCGGAGCCUACAUCCAGAAUGAACACAGCUACCAGGUGGGCAGCGCCUUACUCUGGAAGCGGCGAGCUGAGGCGGCCCUUGAUGCCCUUGACAAGGCCCAGCGCCAGCUGCAGGCCUGCAAGCGGCGGGAGCAGCGGCUGCGGCUGAGACUGACCAAGCUGCAGCAGGAGCGGGCACGGGAGAAGCGGGCACAGGCAGAUGCCCGCCAGACUCUGAAGGAGCAUGUGCAGGACUUUGCCAUGCAGCUGAGCAGCAGCAUGGCCUGAGGGGCUGCUGGACUGACCGAGGGGCUACCCAGCAAGACUGCAGCCUCUUCCUCCCUCAGAUCCCACCAGACCCACCAG
rnacentral:sRNA from 1 species